AUUCUAAGGCGUGAUGGGGAAGGUCAUUAAGACCGAAGUACAUGAUUCCAUGCUUCCAAGAAAAGCAUCUAGAGAGAGAAGUAGUGCCCGUACCGCAAACCGACACAGGUAGAUGAGGAGAGAAUCCUAAGGCCGGCGGAAGAAUUGCAGUUAAGGAACUAGGCAAAUUGACCCCGUAAGUUCGCGAGAAGGGGUGCCUGCGAGAGCAGGCCGCAGAGAAUAGGCCCAAGCAACUGUUUAGCAAAAACACAGGUCUCUGCUAAAGCGUAAGCUGAUGUAUAGGGGCUGACGCCUGCCCGGUGCUGGAAGGUUAAGGGGAACACUUAGCGCAAGCGAAGGUGUGAACUUAAGCCCCAGUAAACGGCGGCCGUAACAAUAACGGUCCUAAGGUAGCGAAAUUCCUUGUCAGGUAAGUUCUGACCCGCACGAAUGGCGUAAUGACUUGGGCACUGUCUCAACUGCAAAUCCGGCGAAGUUGUAGUGCGAGUGAAGAUGCUCGCUACCCGCGAUUGGACGGAAAGACCCCGUAGAGCUUUACUGUAGCUUAGCAUUGAAUUCCGGUAUUGUCUGUACAGGAUAGGUGGGAGACUAGGAAACUAGGGCGUCAGCCUUAGUGGAGUCAACCUUGGGAUACCACCCUGACAGUACUGGGGUUCUAACAGGACGCCAUGAAGCUGGUGACUGGACAUUGUUAGGUGGGCAGUUUGACUGGGGCGGUCGCCUCCUAAAAAGUAACGGAGGCGCCCAAAGGUUCCCUCAGGACGGUCGGAAAUCGUUCGUAGAGUGCAAAGGCAGAAGGGAGCCUGACUGCGAGACCUACAAGUCGAGCAGGGACGAAAGUCGGGCUUAGUGAUCCGGUGGUACCCCGUGGGAGGGCCAUCGCUCAACGGAUAAAAGCUACCUCGGGGAUAACAGGCUGAUCUCCCCCAAGAGUCCACAUCGACGGGGAGGUUUGGCACCUCGAUGUCGGCUCGUCGCAUCCUGGGGCUGUAGUAGGUCCCAAGGGUUGGGCUGUUCGCCCAUUAAAGCGGCACGCGAGCUGGGUUCAGAACGUCGUGAGACAGUUCGGUCCCUAUCCGUCGCGGGCGUAGGAAAUUUGAGAGGAGCUGUCCUUAGUACGAGAGGACCGGGAUGGACUGACCUCUGGUGCACCAGUUGUUCUGCCAAGAGCAUGGCUGGGUAGCUAAGUCGGGAAGGGAUAAACGCUGAAAGCAUCUAAGCGUGAAGCCCCCCUCAAGAUGAGAUUUCCCAUAGCAUAAGCUAGUAAGACCCCUUGAAGAACACAAGGUUGAUAGGUCAGAGGUGGAAGUGCGGUAACGUAUGUAGCUGACUGAUACUAAUAGGUCGAGGGCUUGACCAA
rnacentral:rRNA from 1 species